rnacentral:rRNA from 1 species
UAGGGAAUCUUCGGCAAUGGGGGGAACCCUGACCGAGCAACGCCGCGUGAGUGAAGAAGGUUUUCGGAUCGUAAAGCUCUGUUGUUAAGGAAGAACGUGUGUGAGAAUGGAAAGUUCAUACUGUGACGGUACUUAACCAGAAAGGGACGGCUAACUACGUGCCAGCAGCCGCGGUAAUACGUAGGUCCCGAGCGUUGUCCGGAUUUAUUGGGCGUAAAGCGAGCGCAGGCGGUUAGAUAAGUCUGAAGUUAAAGGCAGUGGCUCAACCAUUGUAGGCUUUGGAAACUGUUUAACUUGAGUGCAGAAGGGGAGAGUGGAAUUCCAUGUGUAGCGGUGAAAUGCGUAGAUAUAUGGAGGAACACCGGUGGCGAAAGCGGCUCUCUGGUCUGUAACUGACGCUGAGGCUCGAAAGCGUGGGGAGCGAACAGG